rnacentral:rRNA from 1 species
UACAGAGGUCCCGAGCGUUGUUCGGAUUCACUGGGCGUAAGGGGUGCGUAGGUGGUGAGGUAAGUCGGAUGUGAAAUCUCCGGGCUCAACCCGGAAAUGGCAUUGGAAACUACCUUGCUGGAGGAUUUGAGGGGGGGAUUGGAAUACUUGGUGUAGCAGUGAAAUGCGUAGAUAUCAAGUGGAACACCAGUGGCGAAGGCGAAUCCCUGGAAAAUACCUGACACUGAGGCACGAAAGCUAGGGGAGCAAACAGG